CACACCAUAUGACAUUUUAGGUGAAAUGUUCAAAUUAAAAUCAUAAAUUAUGACACCCACAUUAUUACCCUACCAACCACCCUCAAACAGGCGUUAUUUCUGCUGAACCCUGUAGACCAGGGCAGGGAUUAAGACUCUGUCGUCCUUCUAAGAUAAAAAGUUCAAUCCAAAGAUGUAUGCAACACUGUCUGACUCCAUCGUUAACUAAAAAAUAAGAGUUUUU